UAAAUUUGUAUCAAAAAGGUUAUACUUAAUUCAAUUCUGUGCACUUAAGGAUAAAAAAAAUAGGAUUUUGAGAAAAAAAUAGUCAUAGUUUGAGUACAAGAUAAGUGACUGAGAUUUGGAAAGGUUUUUAACAUUAUCUUGACAUUAAAUUAAAUGGCAAUGAGCAUAUGUAUGAUUUGAAGUAUUGCCUAUAAUAAUCUACCCUUACCAAUUCAGAUUCAUAUACUUAUUAGUGCAAUGGUAUAAUUUUUGAGCUUAAAAGAAAAAACUAGCAGUCCUUGGAGUUCAUUUUCCCACCCUCUCAUCCCUCUUCACUUCUGGGAGUGGAGAUUGGUCAAGGGGUUUUCUAGAACCAUAAAACUACCACAAUAUAUACAAUGAUACUCCUGAAAAUGUUUAAUGAGGCUUUAGGAGAAGAGAGAAUCAUACAAACUAUUAAGUAGAAAGAUAGUUUGUCUUACUUUGGAGACAUGUUAACAUAGGCAGAAAGGACAUCUCAGGAAGCCACCACCUCUUAUUUACUGAAACAACUCCUCUUUCUCCCUUAGCUCCAGCUGUCCAUUUUCUACACAAAUGCACAUAUGCACUUACACAUACUUACAUAAUAUACAUUUCUUUUUUUGUUGUUGGGCAAAAAGAGGCUCAAUAGUCACAAUUCCACCUUAUUCAUUAUAACAGGAUCACUUAGUCAAAAAAGGAGGACCUGACAAUAGAUAUUCAACCCAACAACCAAGGAAACAAUGAACUAUGGUGAAGAUAACCCAAAGGAGCCAAUAGAGAUGCUAUGCUAUCUUAAACGAGGAAGGAAUAAAUCCCAUAAAACCUUCUAAAGCAGAAUUACUCUGGGAAUGCAUUAAAUUUCUAUUCAUCAAACAUAUUUUCAGACUGUGAAAGGCAUUUGGGCUAUAAAUAAACAUCAUGUAUUUGUCCUCAAGGAUCUCACAGUCCAGAGGAAGGUAGGAGCUUUCAAACCCAGGGAACAGGUUCCCACUGCUGUGGUUAUCAUGAAGGCACAAGUCAACAUGAAAUCUCUGCUGUAUUUUCUCUAAGUGACUUUGACAAAUGGAGCUCCCAUAAGGACCCUCACUGCAGAAAAAGUACUACAGAGAAGUAACAUUUGUUUUGUUAAACCACUGAGGUUUUGAGUUUUUUGUUAUUAAACACAGAUCAUCUUGACCAGAACACACUCCCUCGCUCUCAUCCUGCCCUUAUUCUUGUUCCUCAAAGAGCUAGUGAUGUGUGAACCUUAGGGACUUGCUCUACCUG